AAAGCCACGGCUAACUACGUGCCAGCAGCCGCGGUAAUACGUAGGUGGCAAGCGUUAUCCGGAUUUAUUGGGCGUAAAGGGAACGCAGGCGGUCUUUUAAGUCUGAUGUGAAAGCCUUCGGCUUAACCGGAGUAGUGCAUUGGAAACUGGGAGACUUGAGUGCAGAAGAGGAGAGUGGAACUCCAUGUGUAGCGGUGAAAUGCGUAGAUAUAUGGAAGAACACCAGUGGCGAAAGCGGCUCUCUGGUCUGUAACUGACGCUGAGGCUCGAAAGCGUGGGG
rnacentral:rRNA from 1 species